rnacentral:rRNA from 1 species
UACGUAGGGUGCAAGCGUUAAUCGGAAUUACUGGGCGUAAAGCGUGCGCAGGCGGUUUGUUAAGACGGAUGUGAAAUCCCCGGGCUCAACCUGGGAACUGCAUUCGUGACUGGCAGGCUAGAGUAUGGCAGAGGGGGGUGGAAUUCCACGGUGUAGCAGUGAAAUGCGUAGAGAUGUGGAGGAACACCGAUGGCGAAGGCAGCCCCCUGGGCCAAUACUGACGCUCAUGCACGAAAGCGUGGGGAGCAAACAGG